UACGUAGGGACCGAGCGUUGUCCGGAAUCAUUGGGCGUAAAGAGCGUGUAGGCGGCCCCUUAAGUCCUGCGUGAAAUCUUGCGGCUCAACCGCAAGCGGUCGUGGGAAACUGGGUGGCUAGAGUGCGGGAGAGGAGAGUGGAAUUCCUGGUGUAGCGGUGGAAUGCGCAGAUAUCAGGAAGAACACCCGUGGCGAAGGCGGCUCUCUGGAACGCAACUGACGCUGAGACGCGAAAGCGUGGGGAGCAAACAGG
rnacentral:rRNA from 1 species